rnacentral:rRNA from 1 species
AUUGAACGCUGGCGGCAUGCCUUACACAUGCAAGUCGAACGGCAGCACGGGGCAACCUGGUGGCGAGUGGCGAACGGGUGAGUAAUGCAUCGGAACGUACCUUUCAGUGGGGGAUAACGUAGCGAAAGUUACGCUAAUACCGCAUAUUCUGUGAGCAGGAAAGCAGGGGAUCGCAAGACCUUGCGCUGAUUGAGCGGCCGAUGUCAGAUUAGCUAGUUGGUGAGGUAAAGGCUCACCAAGGCGACGAUCUGUAGCGGGUCUGAGAGGAUGAUCCGCAACAGUGGAACUGUGACACGGUCCAGACUCCUACGGGAGGCAGCAGUGGGGAAUUUUGGACAAUGGGGGCAACCCUGAUCCAGCCAUGCCGCGUGAGUGAAGAAGGCCUUCGGGUUGUAAAGCUCUUUCGGCCGGGAAGAAAUCGCACGGGCUAAUACCCUGUGUGGAUGACGGUACCGGAAUAAGAAGCACCGGCUAACUACGUGCCAGCCGCCGCGGUAAGAC